rnacentral:rRNA from 1 species
UACGGAGGAUCCGAGCGUUAUCCGGAUUUAUUGGGUUUAAAGGGUGCGUAGGCGGUGCAAUAAGUCAGUGGUGAAAGUUUUCGGCUUAACCGGAAAAUUGCCAUUGAUACUGUUGUGCUUGAAUUUGGUUGCUGUGAGUGGAAUGUGUGGUGUAGCGGUGAAAUGCUUAGAGAUCACACAGAAUAUCGAUUGCGAAGGCAUCUCACAAAGCCAAGAUUGACGCUGAUGCACGAAAGUGUGGGGAUCAAACAGGAUUAGAUACCCUGGUAGUCCACACUGUAAACGAUGAUAACUCGCUGUCGGCGAUAGAUAGUCGGUGGCCAAGCGAAAGCGAUAAGUUAUCCACCUGGGGAGUACGACCGCAAGGUUGAA